rnacentral:rRNA from 1 species
GAACGAGAAAGUGGAGCAAUCCAUGAGUAAAGUGGCGACCGGGUGAGUAACACGUGACUAACCUGCCCUCGAGUGGGGGAUAACCUCGGGAAACCGGGGCUAAUACCGCAUAACGUCUCCAGAUCAAAGGAGCAAUCCGCUUAAAGAGGGGGUCGCGGCCGAUUAGCUAGUUGGUGAGGUAACGGCCCACCAAGGCGAUGAUCGGUAGCCGGCCUGAGAGGGCGCACGGCCACACUGGAACUGAAACACGGUCCAGACUCCUACGGGAGGCAGCAGUGGGGAAUUUUGCGCAAUGGGGGAAACCCUGACGCAGCAACGCCGCGUGGAGGAUGAAGUCCCUNUGGGGUGUAAACUCCUUUCGAUCGGGACGAUAAUGACGGUACCGGAUGAAGAAGCACCGGCUAACUCUGUG